rnacentral:rRNA from 1 species
AUUGAACGCUUGCGGCAUGCCUUACACAUGCAAGUCGAACGGUAACAGGGAGCUUGCUCCGCUGACGAGUGGCGAACGGGUGAGUAAUGUAUCGGAACGUACCUUUUAGUGGGGGAUAACGUAGCGAAAGUUACGCUAAUACCGCAUAUUCUCUGAGGAGGAAAGCAGGGGACCUUCGGGCCUUGCGCUAAUAGAGCGGCUGAUAUCAGAUUAGCUAGUUGGUGAGGUAAAGGCUCACCAAGGCGACGAUCUGUAGCGGGUCUGAGAGGAUGAUCCGCACCACUGGAACGGAGACACGGUCCAGACUCCUACGGGAGGACGCAGUGGGGAAUUUUGGACAAUGGGGGCAACCCUGAUCCAGCCAUGCCGCGUGAGUGAAGAAGGCCUUCGGGUUGUAAAGCUCUUUCGGCCGGGAAAAAAUCGCAUGGGUUAAUACCCUGUGUGGAUGAUGGUACCGGAAUAAGAAGCACCGGCUAACUACGUGCCAGCCGCCGCCGUAAGAC